AAAAAUAAUUUGCGGGGAGAAAGAUCUUGGCGCCGAUUUUAAGAAGACUGUGUCGGGUCGUAAUCGAACGCUUUCUUUUCGGAGUCUCCGGCAACUGAUUUUCGUCGAGGAAGAGUCAAUACUCCCUCCGUCGCUCUCAAUUUCCCGCUGAUGCAGUCACUUCUCAAAGCUCGCCGCUCAUUUUGCUCACUGAAUCAUCUUCGUCGCUCAUCAACUUUCAUUUUGGAAGACGAAAAAUCGGAAACUGCCAUUGAAAGAAGCUCUACGUUCAUCCAUCCAACCGCUGUCGUACAUCCGAAUGCUGUAAUUGGCGAGGAUGGAUAUAUUGGUCCAUUCUGUACUGUGGGGGCCUUUGCAAAGCUGGGAAAUGGUUGUCAAUUACAUCCUGGAAGCCACAUUUUUGGGUGCACAGAACUAGGGGAUCGAUGUGUCUUGAUGACUGGCGCAAUAGUUGGUGAGGACCUUCCUGGUCGUACGGUCAUUGGGUGUAAUAACAAAAUAGGUCACCAUGCAGUGGUUGGCAUUAGAUGCCAAGACAUGAAAUACAAGCCAGGGGAUGAAUGCUUCCUUGAUAUUGGAGAUAACAAUGACAUAAGAGAACAUUCAUCAAUCCACCGAUCUUCGAAGUCAAGUGAUGUGACGGCUAUUAGUGACAACAAUCUCAUAAUGGGAUCCUGUCAUAUUGCUCAUGAUUGCAAGAUCGGGAACAACAAUAUUUUUGCAAAUAAUACUCUUCUAGCCGGCCAUGUUGUAGUGGAGGACUACGUUCACACAGCAGGCGCCACUGCAGUUCAUCAAUUCUGCCAUGUUGGUUCUUUCUCAUUUGUUGCUGCGGGUUCGAUGGUUUCCCAAGAUGUACCUAAAUAUAUGAUGGUGGCGGGAGAAAGACCAGAACUUCGUGGUUUGAAUCUAGAGGGACUUCGGCGCAAUGGAUUCACGGUGGAAGAGAUCAAUGGCUUGAGAUCUGCUUACAGGAAGGUAUUCAUGCCUACUGAUACAAAGUUUAAAGGGUUGGAAGAACGUCUCGAAGAAGUGGAGCAGAAUGAAAAAUUGGCUCACAUACCUUCAGUGCAUUCCAUGAUUCAGUCUAUUCGUGCCUCGUUUCAACAAAAUCGUAGGGGCAUAUGCAAAUUCAGACUAUGGAAUGGCAUUUAAGAUAAACUAACUACUGCUCUAUAUGCCCUUUAGAAGUUGCACAUGAAUCUCCUGAUGGGAACACAAAUCUGCAGUGCUGUGGACAAUUUCUUGGUCAGCUCCCUGGAAAAUGGAAAGGAAAGGAAAGGAAUGGAACUCUUCAGCUUGACCAAGGUUGUAGGAAAUCCAAAGCAAUCUUUCAAAGGUAACAACCUCUGACUUUGAAAAAUAGUUCUAAAAAUACACAAAGGGGAAAAGGAAAAACGAAAGUCCUCUCUAGACAGCAUCUUUUUCAAUUGCAUCACAAUUAUAUAUAAAAAAAUUCUAUCCUUUCAACAUAAAUUAAAGAGAAAUGAUUAAAAAAAGAACACCCCCUUAUGAAGCUGAGAAGACACACAAACUUUAUAUUAUAAUGUUAUUUUAUAUAUCCCAUGAUGUUGAAAGUAACAAUUCUUUAACCUACCAUCAUUCAAACAAUAUGCUUUCCUGCCGGAAUUAUACUUGGAUAUAAGAAUAUAAUAAACUUUAUUUUAUUUUAUAUAAUAAAGAAGAAACUAAUAAUGCUACUGCCACUUUGUCAUUGCUCCAUGAAUAGUACAGAAAUAUGACAACAAACAUGCAUAAUGCUUGUACAUUGUAUAUUGUCAGUUCUGAAUUUGGAUCAUGAUCAAUGAUGUAAUGUUUUUUUUU